rnacentral:rRNA from 1 species
GACGAACGCUGGCGGCGUGCUUAACACAUGCAAGUCGAACGCUGAAGCACCUAGCUUGCUGGGUGUGGAUGAGUGGCGAACGGGUGAGUAACACGUGAGUAACCUGCCCCUGACUUCGGGAUAAGCCUGGGAAACUGGGUCUAAUACCGGAUAUGACUACUGGCCGCAUGGUCUGGUGGUGGAAAGGGUUUUACUGGUUGGGGAUGGACUCGCGGCCUAUCAGUUUGUUGGUGGGGUAGUGGCCUACCAAGACGACGACGGGUAGCCGGCCUGGGAGGGGGACCGGCCACACUGGGACUGAGACACGGCCCAGACUCCUACGGGAGGCAGCAGUGGGGAAUAUUGCACAAUGGGGGGAACCCUGAUGCAGCGACGCCGCGUGCGGGAUGACGGCCUUCGGGUUGUAAACCGCUUUCAGUAGGGAAGAAGCGAAAGUGACGGUACCUGCAGAAGAAGUACCGGCUAACUACGUGCCAGCAGCCGCGGUAAGAC